rnacentral:rRNA from 1 species
GACGAACGCUGGCGGCGUGCUUAACACAUGCAAGUCGAACGGAAAGGCCCUGCUUUUGUGGGGUGCUCGAGUGGCGAACGGGUGAGUAACACGUGAGUAACCUGCCCUUGACUUUGGGAUAACUUCAGGAAACUGGGGCUAAUACCGGAUAGGAGCUCCUGCUGCAUGGUGGGGGUUGGAAAGUUUCGGCGGUUGGGGAUGGACUCGCGGCUUAUCAGCUUGUUGGUGGGGUGGUGGCUUACCAAGGCUUUGAAGGGUAGCCGGCCUGAGAGGGUGACCGGCCACAUUGGGACUGAGAUACGGCCCAGACUCCUACGGGAGGGAGCAGUGGGGAAUAUUGCACAAUGGGCGGAAGCCUGAUGCAGCAACGCCGCGUGCGGGAUGACGGCCUUCGGGUUGUAAACCGCCUUCGCCUGUGACGAAGCGUGAGUGACGGUAAUGGGUAAAGAAGCACCGGCUAACUACCUG